rnacentral:rRNA from 1 species
GUGGGGAAUUUUGGACAAUGGGCGCAAGCCUGAUCCAGCCAUUCCGCGUGCAGGAUGAAGGCCUUCGGGUUGUAAACUGCUUUUGUACGGAACGAAACGGUCCGGGUUAAUACCCUGGGCUAAUGACGGUACCGUAAGAAUAAGCACCGGCUAACUACGUGCCAGCAGCCGCGGUAAUACGUAGGGUGCGAGCGUUAAUCGGAAUUACUGGGCGUAAAGCGUGCGCAGGCGGUUUUGUAAGAUCGAUGUGAAAUCCCCGGGCUCAACCUGGGAACUGCAGUGGUGACUGCAAGGCUGGAGUGCGGCAGAGGGGGAUGGAAUUCCGCGUGUAGCAGGGAAAUGCGUAGAUAUGCGGAGGAACACCGAUGGCGAAGGCAAUCCCCUGGGCCUGCACUGACGCUCAUGCACGAAAGCGUGGGGAGCAAACAGGAUUAGAACCCUGGUAGUCC